GGCAAUUCUCGGGUGACACACCCUGGGAUCAGGCUCCCUCCUCUCUGGUUCCGGGUGCAUCACCUGAGAAACGCC
rfam:Myotis brandtii contig240241, whole genome shotgun sequence.